AAACGUUGAAAAUAUGCCGCACAGCCCUAUAUUUUGACCUUUGAAAAAAAUUGUGGUGCAUAUGAACUUUCAAUUCUAGGAUAAGAUUUUUUUCAAAACUUCAUAGUAAAAGUGGUACAGUUUUAGCCGUAAAAGGAGUUCCUAUGGGAAAUUGCAUUGUCAAUAUUUACAGAAAUGCAACCUAUAUAGGGUGAAAAAGGGGAACAUUCAGAAUUUAACCAAAUUUGCUUUAUUUCACAGAUUUUAAAGAAAUUAACUCAAAUAAGAAGUUUUAUAAAUAUUUAAUGAAGAUUGAUAGAAUCCUGGGCCUUAAAUAUGAUGACUCAGCAUAAAUUCACAGUUUACAGUAUGCAAAGUUUACUCAAAGUCCUGGAUACAAAAUUAAAUCAUAAUAUUUGCAUAUUUGUAAGUUAAAUUGUUAAGAAGUGCUUAUAUUUACUCUUCGCAGUCAUUGAAACUCAUAGAUCCUUCCUGAAUAUUAUUUAUGGGGUAUUUGAGUCCUUUCGAUAACCCAAAAGUAAGCCGCAACACCUAAAUCUGCUUUUUUGUCAUCACGGCAUAAUAAAUACAAGCUAGAAAAACAAAAAUAUCUUUAGAAAACUUACAAUAGUGUGUUCUAUCCUGAAUAUGUACUAAAUAUUCCAAAUUGCUAGAAACAGCAGAAUGAUUUAGGAAAUUUUAGGCCCCAGGGGCAAAAAACAUAGAAAAGUGCCUACCCC
rnacentral:lncRNA from 1 species